UACAGAGGGUGCGAGCGUUGUCCGGAAUCACUGGGCGUAAAGGGCGCGUAGGCGGCUUGAUAAGGUUGCGGUGAAAGCCCGGGGCUCAACCCCGGGUCGGCCGUGGCAACUGUCGAGCUGGAGCACUGUAGAGGCAGGUGGAAUUCCGGGUGUAGCGGUGGAAUGCGUAGAUAUCGGGAGGAACACCUGUGGCGAAGGCGGCUUUCUGGGCCCUACCUGACGCUGAGACGCGAAAGCGUGGGGAGCGAACCGG
rnacentral:rRNA from 1 species